rnacentral:lncRNA from 1 species
AAAAACUAAUUUUAAUUCAGAAAAUGAAAGAGGAAUUUAUUUGAAAUUUUUUGGUGAAAGUCCCAUAUUUUUUUUUGGAUCAAUAUUAAAAUUAAUAUGAAUUAAUAAAAAUAAAUAAAUUAAACUAAAAAUUAGAAAAUGCAAAAAUACGUGGACCACUUGAUCUCCCUCAUUAAUUGAGGUGGCAGAUCAAGUGGUUCCCAACGCGCG